UACGUAGGGUGCAAGCGUUGUCCGGAAUUAUUGGGCGUAAAGAGCUCGUAGGCGGUCUGUUGCGUCGGCUGUGAAAACCCGGGGCUCAACCCCGGGCCUGCAGCCGAUACGGGCAGACUAGAGUUCGCAGGGGAGACUGGAAUUCCUGGUGUAGCGGUGAAAUGCGCAGAUAUCAGGAGGAACACCGGUGACGAAGGCGGGUCUCUGGGCCGAUACUGACGCUGAGGAGCGAAAGCGUGGGGAGCGAACAGG
rnacentral:rRNA from 1 species